rnacentral:lncRNA from 1 species
CCAGUUGAUCUGGUUUCACCAAACCAGUGUGUAGGGAUCGACUAACCCAUCGUAGCGUGUGGUCUUGGCUCAACCCAAACCUCCCAACAAAGCACCGACAGCUCUUUCAAAUUCAUUUGAACCACCCCAGCCCCAGCCUCUUACCCUGUCCAUGGCGUGGACCACCCCGACCGCACGGCGUCGGUGCGGCCUCCUCGCGUCGACGGCGCGGCCAUCCCCGCCGCGACACCGGACCUACUCGCACCUGCCUGGCAUCCCGGCACCCCUAGCCCGUGGCGCCACCCCUACCAGCACUGCUGCAGCAGUGCCCCUGUAGUAGCGAUAGAUCUGGUCAGCCAUGACUGCUCCCGCACCACCAAGAUGGUGCCCCAGCCACGACACCUCCCCGUACUGGCGGCGGCAGCAACGACACCACCAGCAAUGGCAACCUCCACAUCACCAUAGAUUCACCGUCACCUUCCUCGGAUCCAGCCGCCCCUAUACCCUGACGACAUCUGCACAUCCUUUAUGAUGCAGCCUUGGUGAUGCAGCGGGCAAGUACGGAUCCUGGUGUGGACCUCCCUCCUUUCUGUCCCUAACUGCAUUUCUCAUCUAUUCCCACCUUUCCCUUGGCAGUGGACUUUCUUCUACUGCAUGAUUGAUUCUGAUGUCUUCUACAUGAACAUACCGAGCCGUAGAGGUGCCAAGUCAAUCUAUGCGUGAGUAUUCUGUCCACAUUCCCCUUUGAUUGUCCACGUUCCAUUUUUGUACUUGAAAGUAAUAAAUUUAGAAUUGUCCAUGUUUCUCUGGUCCUUCACCAGUGUUUUAAUGCCUUUUUCAUGUGUACAAGGUGAUUCCGACCUGUAUGGGUUUUAUGUGGGUUUUUAUGCAUAUCAAAUAUGGCAAGUGAAUAGCUUUAAAAUUACCCAUCAUUUGUGAACUGUACAAGAUAAUGUUUUUUAUGGCAAACGUUUUCUAUGUAACCUUGCUUGUGUUUCCAUACUUGUUGAACGUAGGUGUCUUUUUUAAACUGUAGACAAAAUGUUUCUUUUGUGUUUCUAUUUUUUUUGUUGUGAUUUUUGCAUUAUUGUAGCCAAGAUUUUUUAACCUUGCAUUAUUUCUAGAAGCUCCUUUCGAUUUGGUCGGCUGGAUCUGUUCCAAAUUAUUUCACUUGUCCUUGUUGUCUUGUUGAUUAGCACUAUUCGUCUCUAGUCCUAUGUGCUUUGAUGUCUUAAGUCAUGUGUGGUUUGGUCUCUAGCAACAGAUUUUAAUAUUUAUGCCCUUUCAUCUCCCGGCAAUUUGGAUUGAGUUUGAUUCUGUUAAUGAUGCAGUCUAUAAGAUGCCAAUGUUUCUCUGUUAUUGUUUAGAGCAACUCUAUGUGGACUUCUAAAUUCUAAAUAUAUCUGUAAAUUGUUUGAGCAUACUUUUAUGCAUUGUUUCUCUGUUAAUUAUACAAUUGAAUUCCAGCAGUGGAUACAAAGAUCCACGUUUAUGGUUCAUACAUAAUUCAUCUUCAUUGUUUUGUUUGUAGAUUUUGAGUUAUUAUGCUUGAGUGCAUAAGUUUCUAUGCAUGGCUAAACUAUAGCUUGGUAUGCAUUCUAUAUAUUUUUACAACAAAUUAGCCUAUAUUUUUGGAGCAGUUAACUAUACACUUCUAUACAGCUAUAUACAUAAUUUGAGCACCUUUUUUAUGCAAUGUUGAUGCUUUUAUUUAUAGAAAAAAUUGUUUUUGCGCUUGCAUAUAUGAGUUUCUAUGCAUAGUAAUUAUGAUUUGGCAAUCUGACUAAAUAAAUAUCUAUGUAUAAUUAGAGCAUAUUUCUAUGCAUUAUCUAAGCACAUUAUUUGACCUGAUUAGAAUAAAAAUUUGUAUCAUUCAUUAUCCAGGCCAAGGAGGCCAUCGCCACGGUCCUUAAGGAUGUCCUCCUCAACGACAACAACGCUGAGGAUAAAUUCAACAACGGUAGCAAGGAAUUGCGUCCAAGUCAUUGUCGUGAAGCAAUCUUUCACUGCAUAUCAUUAGUUAUUCAUGCUUCUUUUUAUAUAUUAUAAGAACAAAUUUCUAUGUAAUAUCAGAGUAUAUUUCUAUAUAUUAUCAGAGCAUAUUUCUAUAUGUUUUUGUUGGCUUCUUUCUAUGCAUUGUUAGAACACUUUGACAAACAUUCUUGGAAUAAUUAUCUGUACACUUCCAUAUAAUUCUAUACUUUGCUGGUACACAAUUUUAUAUAUUGUGUGAGUUGGGGUCAUCACGAUGAUAGUACAAUAAUCCCCUAGAAGGGAGGUUAUUUUGGGGUUCUAUGUGUUAUUCCUUUAUUAUCUAUACGUCCCCAAAGUGACAAUAAUGGUUUGGUUUAGGCUUGUCAUGAUUUUGGAUAAAAUAAUCUUCCACAGGGCAGGGUUUUAUUGGGUGUUUAUAUUGUUUUGUGCCUGCUAAAACAUGUUUAUAUGUGUUUUUGCAGCUAUAUGAUUUUCACGUGUACUAAAACAUGUUUCUAUACCUUUCUUUGCCACCGUAAUGUUACUGCGCCUCCUCAAACAUGUUUCUAUGCCUUUUUGUGGUGCAGCUAUAUGACAGUAAUGUUUUCUAUGCAUUUGAUUUUGAUUUUUAUAUUUGAAAGUAAUAAAUUUUGAAUUGUGUUUUAAUGCCUUUUUCAUGCGUACAAGGUGAUUCAGACCUGUAUGGGUUUUUAUGCGAGUUUUUAUACAUAUCAAACAUGAAAACAUGACAAGUGAAUAGCUUUAAAAUUACCCAUCAUUUAUGAACUAUAUGAGACAAUGAUUUUUUAUUGGAACAAAUUUCUAUGCAAUAUCGGAGUAUAUUUCUAUAUAUUAUUAGAGCAUAUUUCUAUACGUUAUUUGUUGGCUUCUUUCUAUGCAUUGUUUGAACACUUUGACAUAGAUUCUUGGAAAAAUUAUCUGUAUACUUCUACAUAAUUAUAUACUUUUCUGGUACAUAAUUAUAUACAUUUUUUAGGUUGGGGUCGUCAUGAUGAUGGUACAAUAGUCCCCUAGAAGGGAGGUUAUUUUUGGAUUCUAUGCGUUGUUCCUCUAUUAUUUAUUAGUGCCUAAAGUGACAAUAAUGGUUUAGUUUAGGAUUGUCACGAUUUUGGAUCUCCCACAUGGCAAAGUUUUAUUAGGUAUUUUAAAUUAUUCGUGCCUGCUAAGACAUGUUUAUAUGUGUUUCUUGUAGCUAUAAGGUUUUUGCGCUUACUAAAACAUGUUUCUAUACCUUUCUUUGCCACCGUAAGUUUUUUACGCUUGCUCAAAUAUGUUUCUAUGUCUUUGUUGUGGUGUAGGAUGGUUGGAAGAAUUCCUCUAUUUUUGGUGUGAGGUCAAUGGUGGCUCGGACAUCAUAGGACAUGACUUGCGACGUUCACAACUUCCUUGGCUUGUGACGGUGGCGUAGUGUGAUAUUCGAUAUAGUUGAUGGGUUAAUGUAAAAAGUUAGUUUUCCAUAUGUUGUGUUUAUAUGCUUGGAUGAUAUGAGCGAAACUAUUGAUUUCUAUGUAACCUCUGUUGGGUUUCAAUAUUUGGUUAACUGAGUGUCUAUGCAUGUUGUGAGUUGGGAACAUUAUGGAUAGUCUAUGUAGUGUUUUGUAUGUUUCAUUCCCUUAAAAGGAAGUAUGGUGUAAAGUUUCUAUACAUUGUUGUUCAAUUAAAUAAACAUAUCCUCG